rnacentral:lncRNA from 10 species
GCAAAAGAAAAGAAUUUUGAUUGAUGUUUCUGACUGUUGAAUGUUAACCUCUAUCCUAAAGAUUGCUCACACAUAAUGGAAAAGUUAAUUCCCACUACAGUGGUAAUAUUCAUUGUACAGAUGAGGGGACAAACAUUAUGGUAUACACUAACUUCUAGCCUGACAUGGUAUUUCCAUUAAUCUGAAUCUAUCAUUAGUCUUUACUUUGGAACCUAAGCAAAACUGCAUCAACACUUACAGGUGGAUCAUAAAGACAAUUGUGAAAAUCAGUACCUGGAUUUUCAAAAAUGUUUAAUUGAUACUUUCAAUAUUCUUUUUUGAGAUAUUUUUCCUCUUCCAGGCAAUAAGGCCCCAGCAACUGACCUCACAGGAAUAGUCCCUUGCUUCCUAGCUUGGCAGCACCCCACACUGUUGGUCUUGCAACAGAUUUUCUGUUUCUUCAUAAUUCAGUCAAGGUAAGUUGUUUGUUUCUGGAUAUUUGUCUGAUUAAGUUAGAUAACUUUUUGGGGUAUAACUGUUCAUAGAAAUCUCUUAUGAUCCUUUGUAUUUCUGUGGUUUUUGUUGUAAUGUCACCUCCUCAUUUCUGAUUACCUUUAUCUUCUUUUUUUUCCUGUACUAGCUAAAAACUGGUGAUUUUGUUCAUCUUUUCAAAAAACAGCUCUUAGUUUUAUUGACCUUUUCUGUUGUUAUUCUAGUUUCUAAUUCCUUUUCUUCCUGCUCUGAUCACUAUCUCCUUCUACUGAUUUUGGUCUUAGUUUGCUCUUUUUCUACUUUUUUCAGGUGUAACAUUAGGC